AGAGAAUAGGUGACAUAUAGGGCAAAUCACUAAGAAGCUGGUGUAACCAACUCACACAUCACUUGAUGUGUAUUAAAGUUUAACUGCAAGGGCUUUUCCUUCUUUUUUAAAAAUUUGAGACAGGGUUUAUGUAGUACAGGCUGGUCUUGAACUUGCUGUGUAGCCCAAGCUGAUCUUGAUCUCAAGAUCCUCCUGCCUCAGCCCCCUAAGUAGCUGGAACUAUAGGCAUGCUCACAUUUGGCUCUAGAGGAUUUUUAAAUUUUCUUAUCUAUGACCACAGUGGCACACAGAGUUACUCUACAUUUGGGGUGGGAAAGGGGAGAGAGGAGGGGGAAGCUCCUGCCGCCAUCAUGUAACCAUGCUGCUUAGCCCAUGCUAUGCUGAGCCUGCAGCCAUGCCACCUCCAUCCUGUUCUGGGUGGAGGAACGUAGUCCCAGCCAGCUGGCCAAACUCCUCAUUCCUCUGGCCACGCUGGCUGCUCAUGGGUGGGCAGAUCACAAGUAAGGCCAAAGUCCCUCUGGACCUGGCUACAGCUAGAGACUACAAGGGCCAUGUAGAUGUGGGGCUAUUAUCAGACAUCUUUGGAUUCACAGAAACUUGACCAAAGGCUGAAGUUGGACAAGGCCAAGAUGCCUGAGAGCAACUACUAUGUGUGUCAGCUCAGUACACAUGGGAACACAGGCCAACAACUUCCAGGUUGCACACUAAGCUAGGGUCUCGCUAUGUAGUUCAGGCUGGCCUCAAACUCACAGCAAUCCUCCUGCUUCAGCCUCCUGAGUGCUGGAAUUACAGGCGCGCAUCUCCAUACCCAGCACCUCAUGGUAUUUUUGAACAAAUAAAUUUAGCUCUGAGUUUACUACACAUUGUUAAA